rnacentral:rRNA from 1 species
AACGAACGCUGGCGGCAUGCCUAACACAUGCAAGUCGAACGAAGCCUUCGGGCUUAGUGGCGCACGGGUGCGUAACGCGUGGGAAUCUGCCCCUCGGUUUGGAAUAACAGUUAGAAAUGACUGCUAAUACCGGAUGAUGACGAAAGUCCAAAGAUUUAUCGCCGAGGGAUGAGCCCGCGUAGGAUUAGCUUGUUGGUGGGGUAAUGGCCCACCAAGGCGACGAUCCUUAGCUGGUCUGAGAGGAUGAUCAGCCACACUGGGACUGAGACACGGCCCAGACUCCUACGGGAGGCAGCAGUGGGGAAUAUUGGACAAUGGGCGAAAGCCUGAUCCAGCAAUGCCGCGUGAGUGAUGAAGGCCUUAGGGUUGUAAAGCUCUUUUACCAGGGAUGAUAAUGACAGUACCUGGAGAAUAAGCUCCGGCUAACUCCGUGCCAGCAGCCGCGGUAUGCUACGUAGA